rnacentral:rRNA from 2 species
UUGACCUCGGAUCAGGUAGGGAUACCCGCUGAACUUAAGCAUAUCAAUAAGCGGAGGAG